GUUUGAACGCUGCAUUGAAAGGAACGUCUGGAUGUUCUUCACUUCACUUUCGUACGAGCUGUCCAGUAACGUCAAGCCUUUGGACGCCAGCUUACAGGCGGCCAUCCACUGAGAAUACUGCUUCUCCUGAUUCAGGGGGAACGAGGAGUUUGAUGCAGAAUUUCUGGCCCGCUACGUUGACAUCAGGGGCAACCUCACAGCCUACAGAGAAGCAGAAGUGUCUCAGAUAACAGAUAACAGCCUACUUUCUUUUCAGCCUUGACUAAGGACGGAGCAAGGAGAGCUCCUCUGGGUGACGUAAAUCUGAAACCAAAAUGAUGCCCAUAAUUGUGCGAAAUACGGGACUGGAGAAGCAGGCUCGCAUUUUCAGCGUGGCCCCGUUCGGUAAGCCCAGUCGCAGAGACUUGUGCUGCGGGGUGAAGAAGAGGCGAGCGUCUGCGUGGACCCCGCAUUUGUCCAGAGUCCAGCCGGUCCUCAGCAGCCACUGCUGCUUCUGCUCCCACCACAGGGCGUGAUCGGACCAGUCCUUCUUCAGAUCUACAAAUAAGAGGAUCAGAGGUCACGCUGACUUUAAGAGGUGGGGCGUCCGGACCAAGAUCCUCCACUGUGACUGUAAGGUCCCACGCUGCCAUACUGCUGACAAGGGAUAGUAAAAAUACGGAAACAUCGAGGUUUGAUCAGACAUUAUUCUGUUUAAAAGCGUCGGUUUUGAUGGACCAAAUGUUAAACGCAUGAUGAGCAGCCGUAUCUCACAUGCUUAGCAUGAUCACGCUGAUGGAAAUGUUGGUGACACAUCACCAGAUCAUGCUUCAUCCAGCCUCGUUUGCUCCUAGUUUACCGAGGCCGAUACUUCCCGUUUAUACACGAAUCUAAUGGAACCACAUUUCCUCUUUUGGUAAAGUGUCUAAUUCACCGAUGUGUGUAAUAGGGUGUGUUGGUUUAUAUAUAUGGGUCACGUGGGUGUGUGUGUGAUAAUUCUGAAAAUAGUUGACUGAAACUGAAAACUGAAAUAGACCCAAAAAUAUUAAAUCUGUAACGCAAAUGCCAUUUGAACUUUACAAUAAAAUAAAUUAAUGUAGACACAACGCUGCAAAAUAGUGCAACGUGUCGUAAUCACCUUUAGAUAAUAUCCUGUUCAAAUAAAUAAAACGCUUUAGAUGUAAUUUAUACCACCUUAAUAUUUUGUAUUGUACAUUUCUUUUCUAAACGAUUACCUAUUUGUUAGUUAUCUGAAAUAAAAUGAACAGAGAA